UACGUAGGUGGCAAGCGUUGUCCGGAAUCACUGGGCGUAAAGCGCGCGCAGGCGGCGAUCUACGUCUGGGGUGAAAGCCCGGAGCUCAACUCCGGGACUGCCUUGGAUACGGGAUCGCUUGAGGAUUGGAGAGGCAAGGGGAGUUCCACGUGUAGCGGUGAAAUGCGUAGAUAUGUGGAGGAACACCUGUGGCGAAGGCGCCUUGCUGGCCAAUUUCUGACGCUGAGGCGCGAAAGCGUGGGGAGCAAACAGG
rnacentral:rRNA from 1 species